UACGGAGGGUGCAAGCGUUAUCCGGAUUCACUGGGUUUAAAGGGUGCGUAGGCGGACUUGUAAGUCAGUGGUGAAAGCCCGGAGCUCAACUCCGGAACUGCCAUUGAUACUGCAAGUCUUGAGUACACUUGAGGUGGGCGGAAUAUGUCAUGUAGCGGUGAAAUGCUUAGAUAUGACAUAGAACACCGAUAGCGAAGGCAGCUUGCUACACGAGUAUUGACACUGAGGCACGAAAGCGUGGGGAUCAAACAGG
rnacentral:rRNA from 1 species